rnacentral:rRNA from 1 species
GAUGAACGCUAGCGGCAGGCUUAAUACAUGCAAGUCGAGGGGUAGCAAGAUUGUAGCAAUACAAUUGUUGACGACCGGCAAACGGGUGCGGAACACGUACACAACCUUCCUACAAGUGGGGAAUAGCCCAGAGAAAUUUGGAUUAAUACCCCGUAACAUAGCGAUGUGGCAUCACAUUGCUAUUAUAGCUUCGUCGCUUGUUGAUGGGUGUGCGGCUGAUUAGAUAGGUGGCGGGGUAGCGGCCCACCAAGUCUACGAUCAGUAGCUGAUGUGAGAGCAUGAUCAGCAACACGGGCACUGAGACACGGGCCCGACUCCUACGGGAGGCAGCAGUAAGGAAUAUUGGACAAUGGACGCAAGUCUGGUCCAGCCAUGCCGCGUGAAGGAUUAAGGUCCUCUGGAUUGUAAACUUCUUUUAUAAGGGACGAAAAAAGGUCUUUCUAGAUCGUCUGACGGUACCUUAUGAAUAAGCACCGGCUAACUCCGUGCCAGCAGCCGCGGUAACAC